UACGUUUCGUGUUUGCCUUCAUCUUUUGGAAAAUAUAUACAUACAUUCACAAACACAAUUCUCUCCAUAAGAUACUCUCAAUUUCAUCAUCAUAAACAUAAAAAAAAAAUUGAUCCAUCUCCUUCAAUCCCUUUCUCUCUCUCUCUCUCUCUUUGAUCAUUUGCUCCAUGGAAUCGUUCUUGAUUAUAUCUCUGUUUCUAUGAGGCUGUGAUUGACAAUAGUAGUGAAGAAGUGUUGCAACUUGGAUUUUCCUUCUAUUUUUCCCAAUUCAUCUGUCAAUAUUCCUUGCCUCCAAGCAAUUCUCCAAUGGUUGAGACACCGACGGUAAGGCAGCAACAGAUUACCUUUUUUUGUAAUGGACGGGCCUUUGUCUACGACCUGACUGAACUUCAGGAUCAAAUGAUUGGGGUCUUGGAGACUCGAAUAAAGAAAUCACAUUCUCAAAAGAGGAAGGCCUAGUCCUUUGUUAAUUUACCACACAUUCUAUUGCAAUAUAUAUAUAUACACGAUUUUAAUAUAAUGAUGAAUUUAUAGAAAAGGAUUGUAAAGGACAAUAUAUAUAGUUGGUAUCUUCAUGAUCUACAUGAUCACAAUAGAUAAUUAUCUCUUACAAUUCUUCUCAAUAAAUCCUCAUUAUAUUAAAUUUGUAUAUACAGCACUUUUUAAAAAAUAACAACAAAUGCAAAAAGCUUUUAUUGGGGUGGUGAUUUUCGGAAAAUGGGCAUACAUGGCAUCUAUAUUAGCCUCUCUUCCCUCAAUCCAAAAAAUUCAAUUUUGGUACACAUCUAAUCCAGGCCCAAUUCAUGGCCCAAAACUGACAAUGUCAACAUUUGUAUGUAUUUAUGUAUGUAUGUACAUGCUGAUGACGAAUUGAUAUAACAACAAAACAAUACUAUGAUAAAAAGUUUACGAAAAACUUGUCAUGGUUUAGCAUACAUAGCGAGAUUUGAAACCAAAUCCAAGCAUUUGGUCACAAAUAUGUCUUCUCUUAAAAAAAAAAAAUUUAUUUUUUAUACUGUUAUAAAUUUUUAAACUGUUUAUAAUUUUUUUAUACUGUUAUAAAAUGAAUGAAUACUUUUAGUCACAGCUGACUUUUGUACCAUGUUAGGUAUUCUAGCUUGCAUGCUUUAAUUCCAAUUAAAAAUCAUAUUUUAAAGGCUUAAUACUUUUUCAAAUCACGUAGGGUGAAAAAUUACAUAGGAAUUAAUUAAUCCAAAUAGUAAAAGUUGUUUCAAAUCAACAUCGAAAUUAAUAUUCCUCUCCCCAUUUUAUCCCCAAAAGAAAAAAAGUCACCUUCGAAAUUAAAUACUUUACUGUAUAUAAAUUUCUUUAUGAUGAUGUCUCUAUUAAAAUAUACAAUUUUACCAGUUCUCAUAGCAUUCCUGUUUGUUUUUUGUCCAUCUUUGACUUAGCAAAACAUACUAUGACAAAAAUAAUAAUAAUAAUAAUAAAACCUUUCCGAAUUAUGCUGUAAUUUUUUUUUUUUUUUUUCUUUCAUAUAUUGCUCUAUGUUUAGGCAUCCAAACUAGAAAUUGAAACACUUUAGUUGCAUUUGGUUGUAAAAUAUUAUUCUCAAAGAAGAAUUUUGCUCAAUAAAAAGAAAAAGUAAAUAAAAAUUUAGAGUUGGCUACUCACAAAUUUUGAAUU